GUGAGGAAUAUUGGACAAUGGGCGCAAGCCUGAUCCAGCCAUGCCGCGUGCAGGAAGACGCAUCUAUGGUGUGUAAACUGCUUUUGUACGGGAAGAAACACUCCCUCGUGAGGGAGCUUGACGGUACCGUAAGAAUAAGGAUCGGCUAACUCCGUGCCAGCAGCCGCGGUAAUACGGAGGAUCCAAGCGUUAUCCGGAAUCAUUGGGUUUAAAGGGUCCGUAGGCGGUUUAAUAAGUCAGUGGUGAAAGCCCAUCGCUCAACGAUGGAACGGCCAUUGAUACUGUUAGACUUGAAUUACAAGGAAGUAACUAGAAUAUGUAGUGUAGCGGCGAAAUGCUUAGAUAUUACAUGGAAUACCAAUUGCGAAGGCAGGUUACUACUUGUGGAUUGACGCUGAUGGACGAAAGCGUGGGGAGCGAACAGGAUUAGAAACCCCUGUAGUCC
rnacentral:rRNA from 1 species